UUGACCUCAAAUCAGGUAGGACUACCCGCUGAACUUAAGCAUAUCAAUAAGCGGAGGAAAAGAAACUAACAAGGAUUCCCCUAGUAACUGCGAGUGAAGCGGGAAAAGCUCAAAUUUGAAAUCUGGCAGCUCUUUGAACUGUCCGAGUUGUAAUCUAGAGAAGUGUUACCUGUGUUGGACCGUGUACAAGUCUCCUGGAAUGGAGCGUCACAGAGGGUGAGAAUCCCGUCUUUGACACGGACUGCCUGCACGUUAUGGUGCGCUCUCAAAGAGUCGAGUUGUUUGGGAAUGCAGCUCAAAAUGGGUGGUAAAUGCCAUCUAAAGCUAAAUAUUGGCGAGAGACCGAUAGCGAACAAGUACCGUGAGGGAAAGAUGAAAAGAACUUUGGAAAGAGAGUUAAACAGUACGUGAAAUUGCUGAAAGGGAAACGCUUGAAGUCAGUCGCGUCGGCUAGAAAUCAACCUUGCUUUUGCUUGGUGUACUUUCUUGUUGACGGGUCAGCAUCAAUUUUGACCGUCRGAUAAAGUCAUUGGGAAUGUGGCAUCUUAGGAUGUGUUAUAGCCCAUUGUCGCAUACGACGGUUGGGAUUGAGGAACUCAGCAYGCCCACAAGGGACGGGUUUUUUGACCACGUUCGUGCUUAGGAUGCUGGCAUAAUGGCUUUAAUCGACCCGUC
rnacentral:rRNA from 1 species